UACAGGGGGGGCAAGCGUUGUUCGGAAUUACUGGGCGUAAAGGGCUCGUAGGCGGCCAACUAAGUCACACGUGAAAUCCCCAGGCUUAACCUGGGAACUGCGUGUGAUACUGGAUGGCUUGAAUUCGGGAGAGGGAUGCAGAAUUCCAGGUGUAGCGGUGAAAUGCGUAGAUAUCUGGAGGAAUACCGGUGGCGAAGGCGGCAUCCUGGACCGAGAUUGACACUGAUGAGCGAAAGCUAGGGGAGCAAACGGG
rnacentral:rRNA from 1 species